rnacentral:rRNA from 1 species
ACUCCUACGGGAGGCAGCAGUGGGGAAUAUUGCACAAUGGGCGCAAGCCUGAUGCAGCCAUGCCGCGUGUGUGAAGAAGGCCUUCGGGUUGUAAAGCACUUUCAGUCGUGAGGAAGGUAGUGUAGUUAAUAGCUGCAUUAUUUGUACGUUAGCGACAGAAGAAGCACCGGCUAACUCCGUGCCAGCAGCCGCGGUAAUACGGAGGGUGCGAGCGUUAAUCGGAAUUACUGGGCGUAAAGCGCAUGCAGGUGGUUUGUUAAGUCAGAUGUGAAAGCCCGGGGCUCAACCUCGGAAUUGCAUUUGAAACUGGCAGACUAGAGUACUGUAGAGGGGGGUAGAAUUUCAGGUGUAGCGGUGAAAUGCGUAGAGAUCUGAAGGAAUACGGUGGCGAAGGCGGCCCCCUGGACAGAUACUGAC